UUGCGUAGGUGGCAUAGAAAGCGGACAGUGAAAGCGCGUGGCUCAACCAUACAUCCAUUGUCUGAACUCCUAAGCUAGAGGACGAGAGAGGCAGAUGGAAUUCUUGAUGUAGGGGUAAUAUCCGUAGAUAUCAGGAGGAACACCGAUGGCGUAAGCAGUCUGCUGGCUCGUUCUGACACUAAGGCACGAAAGCGUGGGGAGCAAACA
rnacentral:rRNA from 1 species